CACUGGUCUGCACCAUGGCCCAGGCCCUGGGAUUUUGAACAGCUCUGCAGGUGAAUGAAAGGUGUGGCCAGGCUGGGGAACCACCGCAUUAGAGGCUGACCUGGUUUCAGCCCCAGCCCUGUCACUGACUGGCUUUGUGAGUGUGGGCAAGUCACUCAGCCUCCCUAGGCCCCAGUGACUUCCCUGAAAGCAAGAAUGCCGCUUUCUUGCUGUUGUGAUGGUAUUAAAGGAAGUGGGCCUGGCUCUGCCCCUGACGCGGGAACAUGGAGCUGAUCCAGGACAUCUCUCGCUCGCCACUGGAGUACGUGAAGGGGGUUCUGCUCAUCAAGUACUUUGCAGAGGCACUGGGACCCCUGCAGAGCUUCUGGGCCCGGCCCGAUGACCUGCUCAUCAGCACCUACCCCAAGUCCGGGACUACCUGGGUGAGCCAGAUACUGGACAUGAUCUACCAAGGCGGCGACCUGGAGAAGUGUCACCGAGCUCCCAUCUUCAUGCGGGUGCCCUUCCUUGAGUUCAAAGCCCCAGGGAUUCUCUCAGGGCUGGAGACUCUGAAAGACACACCGGCCCCACGGCUCCUGAAGACACACCUGCCCCUGGCUCUGCUGCCCCAGACUCUGCUGGAUCAGAAGGUCAAGGUGGUCUUUGUUGCCUGAAACCCAAAGGAUGUGGCGGUCUCCUACUACCACUUCCAUCGCAUGGCCAAGGUGCGCCCUGACCCUGGGACCUGGGAGAGCUUCCUGGAGAAGUUCAUGGCCGGAGAAGUGUCCUACGGGUCUUGGUACCAGCACAUGCAGGAGUGGUGGGAGCUGAGCCACACCCACCCUGUUCUCUACCUCUUCUAUGAAGACAUGAAAGAGGUGAGACCACCCUCUGCUCCUCAGAACCCCAAAAGGGAGAUUCGGAAGAUCCUGGAGUUUGUGGGGCGCUCCCUGCCAGGAGGAGACCGUGGACCUCAUGGUUCAACACACGUCAUUCAGGGAGAUGAAGAAGAACCCUAUGACCAACUACACCACCGUCCCCCAGGAGUUCAUGGACCACAGUAUCUCCCCCUUCAUGAGGAAAGGCAUGGCUGGGGACUGGAAGACCACCUUCACCGUGGCGCAGAAUGAGCGCUUCGAUGUGGACUAUGCGGAGAAGAUGGCAGGCUGCAGCCUCAGCUUCCGCUCUGAGCUGUGAGAGGGGCUCCCGGGGUCACUGCAGAGGGAGUGUGCGAAUCAAGCCUGACCAAGCGGCUCAAGAAGCAAAUAUGAAUUGAGGGCCAGGGACAGUAGGUCAUAUCUGUAAUCCCAGCAAUUUGGGAGGUUGAGGUGGGAGGAUCAUUUGAACCCAGGAGUUCAAGACCAACCUGGGCAACAUAGUGAGAUUCUGUUGAAAAAAAAUAAUAAUAAUAACAAAAUAAAAUCAGUUUU